CAGUAGCCGCGGUAAGACAGAGGAUGCAAGCGUUAUCCGGAAUUACUGGGCGUAAAGCGUGCGUAGGCGGUGAGUUAAGUCUGCUGUGAAAUCCCCGGGCUCAACCUGGGAAUGGCAGUGGAUACUGGCUCGCUAGAGUGUGUCAGAGGAUGGUGGAAUUCCCGGUGUAGCGGUGAAAUGCGUAGAGAUCGGGAGGAACAUCAGUGGCGAAGGCGGCCAUCUGGGACAACACUGACGCUGAGGCACGAAAGCGUGGGGAGCAAACAGGAUUAGAUACCCCCGUAGUCCCUGUCUCUUAUAC
rnacentral:rRNA from 1 species